rnacentral:rRNA from 1 species
CCUUGACAUACUAAGAACUUUCCAGAGAUGGAUUGGUGCCUUCGGGAACUUAGAUACAGGUGCUGCAUGGCUGUCGUCAGCUCGUGUCGUGAGAUGUUGGGUUAAGUCCCGCAACGAGCGCAACCCUUUUCCUUAUUUGCCAGCGGGUCAUGCCGGGAACUUUAAGGAUACUGCCAGUGACAAACUGGAGGAAGGCGGGGACGACGUCAAGUCAUCAUGGCCCUUACGGCCAGGGCUACACACGUGCUACAAUGGUCGGUACAAAGGGUUGCUACCUCGCGAGAGGAUGCUAAUCUCAAAAAGCCGAUCGUAGUCCGGAUCGCAGUCUGCAACUCGACUGCGUGAAGUCGGAAUCGCUAGUAAUCGCGGAUCAGAAUGCCGCAGUGAAUACGUUCCCGGGCCUUGUACACACCGCCCGUCACACCAUGGGAGUUUGUUGCACCAGAAGUAGGUAGUCUAACCGCAAGGAGGACGCUUACCACGGUGUGGCCGAUGACUGGGGUGAAGUCGUAACAAGGUAGGCGUAGAUGA